CCUUUUUUACUUUGUGUGUGUGUGCUCACGCACUGCACAUGCUUGUGAGCACUGAGGAUGGAACCCAGGGCUUUCACACAUGCUAGAACUGGGAUGAGUCACCCAGCUCCUCAGAAACCAGGAAGAAGGCGACUGACUAGAGGGGACUCUGCCCCCAGGGAAAACCAGGCCGCUCUUGGGGCUUGUUUUGGGAACGGAGCUGCAGUCCCAGGGGGUGGGGGUGGGGCUCGUUCCCAGGGUACAGAGGCUGAGAACUUCCUAGGAGGACCCAGAAACUUCCCGGAGUUCCGAAGGACCCUGAGCAAGGGUGUGCUUGUCCCGGUGGGCUCACUGGGUCACUCCAGAAGCAAGGAGGCCACACAGGAGAAAGGCCUUUGACCCGGAGGGAUAACUCCACAGCAAAGCUCAAGGUGCGCGUCUUUGCUCUGGGCUUGUUCAGGGUCUGUCCUCAACCUCACCUGGGCCCAGGCCACCAUGAGGGCGGCAGAAUUGACCCCAAGCACGUCCACACUGACCUUGCCUUGAGCCCGCCACCAUGACCGCAGCGCCUGCUUCUCCCAGGAGCCCCAGCAGCCCAGUUGGACUGGUUGGUGGCCGUUCCCUGCCCAGGGGCAGUUUCUGGCCAGCACUAACAUCCCUCACCUUCCGCUGACAACCCUCAGAUUCCAGGGCACGUUACAGAAUGCUGAUGGUCAGGAGAGGGCUCUGAAAAAUAACUGGAGCUUUAAAAAAAACCAACUAGCUAGUGUGCCCUACAUCCCUCCCCAGCCACCCCGACACACCUGGCUCUGUGGAAAGGGGGAACCCAGCCUCAUGUUCAGGAAGUCAGCACUUGAGCCCCUGCUGCAAGCUCCCCUGACCCCAAGGGACACUGGCGCUGGGGUAGGUCUCAGCCUACCAAGAUGAUGUUCCUCAGAGGUGAUACGAGCAGAUAAUGGCUCCACUGUCCUAAGGCUGCAGUGAAGAUACUAGGAUUUAACAUGUGGGAGCCCCCAGGAGUGCUGGGAUACUCUGUAGCUGGAUCUAGGUGUGGACUACCCAGGCAUAUAUAUGUGAUAAAAUUAAUUGAGCUAGUCCCUUUAAGAUAUAUGCACUUUGAAUACCCCAAUAAAGUACUGCUGGCAGGAAAAAGAAAAAAAAUGAAGUAGUAGAUAUCCAAAGGCACUUUGCACCUUGUAAAUCUUUUGUUGUUAAGGAUUUUUUCCCCUAGUACUAGGAAUUUAGCCAAGACCUUACCCAUGCUACAUAAGCACUUUACCACAAGCUAUAUUCCUAGCCUUUUUCUUUUUUAAUUUUGAGAUGGAGUUUCACUAAAUUAUCCAGAUUGGCUUUGAACUUGUGAUCUUCCUGCCUCAGUCUCCCCAGUAGCUGGGACUUUACAGGCAAGUGUCACUGUGUCCAGCUGUUAAGGACUUUUUAAAGUUUUUAAUGAACUAUAAUUAUUAUCCUGACUUCCACUAUAAUGGCUUUGUUUUCCCUGUUUCUGUACUACAUACAGAUGGAAUCGUAGAUCAUAUAGUAUGGACUCUUAUGUUUGUUUGACUUGUCCCUCUACAUUAUGUGUAUGAGGCUCUUCUAUGUUGUAUUCUCAGUGUGUUCGUUUUCACUGCUAUGUAAUAUUCCACUGUAUGAAUACACCUUUGAUUUCUGCA